rnacentral:lncRNA from 1 species
AGAUCUGCGUAUUCACCUUGCUGGUCACCGGCCACCACCACCUCGGAGCCAAUGAAUUUUCUGUCGCGAGCCCCGCUAACGGGCUUGCCGCUGAGAACUCUGGGAAAUGUAGUUAGGCGCGAGCAAGCUGUCGUUAGUUGCAGGUCUGAGGCGGGAACCGGGGCUCCUCAUGUGUUCGUGGCUCGGUUCAGCCUUCCACGUUCCUUCACGUUGUCCGGAAUAGCAGAAUGGAUCCUGGUGAUCGGAGCAAUUAGGUGCUGUCCAUGGGCUGGGGAGAUGACGCAGGGAGCUCCUGAAGUUCUGCCAUUCCCCGUGGUCUGUAGUUCAGGAAGCUUCUGGAACAUACGGCGCCUCUGCCAUGGAAACACGAUCCGCGUCAUCAGCUUCAGAUGUGAUCUUGGAACGCUGAGUUCGCCUUGGCAGCUGUCCGAAAGUUAA